rnacentral:rRNA from 1 species
CGGCAGGCUUAACACAUGCAAGUCGAGCGGCGUAGCAAUACGUCAGCGGCAGACGGGUGAGUAACGCGUGGGAACGUACCUUUCGGUUCGGAACAACACAGGGAAACUUGUGCUAAUACCGGAUAAGCCCUUACGGGGAAAGAUUUAUCGCCGAAAGAUCGGCCCGCGUCUGAUUAGCUAGUUGGUGAGGUAACGGCUCACCAAGGCGACGAUCAGUAGCUGGUCUGAGAGGAUGAUCAGCCACAUUGGGACUGAGACACGGCCCAAACUCCUACGGGAGGCAGCAGUGGGGAAUAUUGGACAAUGGGCGCAAGCCUGAUCCAGCCAUGCCGCGUGAGUGAUGAAGGCCCUAGGGUUGUAAAGCUCUUUUGUGCGGGAAGAUAAUGACGGUACCGCAAGAAUAAGCCCCGGCUAACUUCGUG